ensembl:lncRNA
CCACCGGGGAGGUAUGGGGUUGCUUAUAUCAUGUAAUUGCCCCCUCUACCUCUUGAUGUGGCCUCCUCUUUGUCUUCUCGAGUAGGAUCUCUUUUUGAAAGUUUCCAGUCCAUUUGGUUGAAGGUUGUUCAGCAUUUGGUUGUAAUUUUGUUGUUUUUAUGAGAGAAGUUGAGCUCUAGUCCUUCUAUUCUGCCAUCUUAAUCCUAUCUCCUAGUUUUGAAUACUUUAAAUAAAAUAAAUAUUAAAAAACCUCAGUCCUACUCUUCUCUUCCCUCUUUGGGUCCCUGGCUUGUCUAAGAACUAAAUUGAUAUAAGACAGACCAAUAAGAGAAAAGCAUACAAAUUGUGUUGAGUUUUUACAUAUCCAUGGCAGGUUUCACGAGAGGAUGAAUACCAAAAAUGACCAAAACCAGAAGCUUUUAUACCUUUUAGUCAACUUUGUGUAUAUCCACUUGUUUACUCUUGCAUUUCUGCCAUUGCAAGGAGCAGAGGAUGCCCAUGCUAGUCUUUUGGUUCCUCCUAGGCAGGGCAGAUCACCCCAGGUAAAUGCAGCCUAGAUCCAAAGCUCCUCAGCUAACUUUCAGAAGAAUGUGAAAACUAAGGUGAGGUCAGCAGAAGUGUCCAGCCUUGAGCCUCUGAACUCUGAGAUCCAUAAGAAAUAAAUGUGCAUUGUGUAUGCUGCUGAGUUUCUGGGUCGUUUGUUAUGCAGUGAAAGCUAAAGUGUAUAAACACAUUUUAAUAAGAAAAGCAUCCGUAUAUUCAAGCAAAAUGAAACAUGUUUUGGGGACACAAUGCAAAUAAUUAACUGUGGUUGUUUGAGCUUUAUGGGUAUGGACAACUUUAAUUUUUUCUUUAUAAUUAUGUUUAAAAAUUUAUGCAAUAAGCAUGUUUUAUUUGUCACAAAUGGAAUUUUAAAUAAAAUGAUAAUAUUUAUCUUCUAUUUUAGAGAAUAAAUUGCUUUUGAAACUUUAUUAUUAAUCCAAAAAAAAUUUUUCCCUUAGAAAAUAAGAACUACUUUCUGAAAAGUGAUAAGAAUAAAGGUAUAUUAAUCAGCUAUUAUUAUAUUCUCUGGAUUCUCUGGAUAAAUCCUUACUGAUAAGAAUUGAGGAAUAUAAUAAUCUUGAGGUAAUGUACAUGUAAUUUAAAAAUAGACUUUAGUUUGCUCUUUGUUUCCCAGCCAAAAGGUGAGUAGUGAGUUUUUUGCCAUUAAAAACUUUAUUCAACUUUUUAUGGCUAAAAGAUAAUUUUCCCAGGGAUAUUCUCUUAGAAAAUAUUAAAAUAAUGUUUUAACUGCUUCUACACUACUUGGCUGAAUGAUAUUUGAGACAAAGGCAGAAAUUCUUUGCUUUUGAUCUAAAACUGGCAAGAUUAAUUCAUCUACAUCUUUAAAAUUUACCAUGGGAGACUUUUAAGUUUUAUGGUAUUAAGUUAUUUUCACAAAUGAUUGUUUCAAGGUCAGAGAAAAUUUGAACAUUAUGUUUCAUAUUUCUCUUUUCCUCAGUCCUCACAUCCAAUCAAGCAACAAGUCCUAACUACUUUUUUAAAACCUCCACUUUUAUAAUUAUACUGUCAAAAGUAUAAUUUUUAAAGUUAGAACAUGACUUUUUUAUAAAUAUCAAGUGAACACAUGGCAAAUAUCUAUUUAAAUCCUUAAUGAGGGAGUCAGCAGGAAGGUAAAGCUAGCUCAAGGAGCAUUUGAAGAACAGAGAUGGAUAAAGUCUGUUUAAAAAAAAAAAAAGACAUACUGAAAUAAAUUUGCAAAGUUAAGAACAAAACUUUUUAAUAUCCUAAAGGGUAAUAAAAUAGAAACCUUUGGGAGUGCCUUUGUUCUGAGUAGAAACUAUGUACAUUUCCAGUGGAAAAAGCUACAAUUGAACACGUAACUUUACUGAUUUUUAGCCUAAUAAAUACCAAAGCAAACAGGUACAUAUUCUAGGGAAUUAAAUUAUUCUUGGGUGAUCCUUUUAAUAUCCCAGUAUAAUACUGAAAUUAUGUGUAGAUAUUCUACUGAUUUAAUAGCCAUUUUGGAACAUUUUUCUUAACAGUCUCCUUUGUGAUCAUAAAUAAUCUCUAAAGAAUGUUCUUGGUCAUGAAAAAAAUUUAGCCUUUUUGUGUUUUGGCCUAAUUAAUUUACAUGGGUUAGUAGACAGCAUUAAUUAAACAUAUAAAUUUCUUUAUAGGAUAGUCAGAAAGUCUAGAACCACUCAAUUAUUAUUAUUAUCAGAGAAUUAACUUAUUUCUAGAGAUUGCAUAAGGAAAACAUUAAAGAAACAUAUCAAAAUAGUGGUGGAUAAAAUCUGACCACAAAUUCGUUUCUGCUUUUUUAGCAAGACUGUCUCCCAUUUUUAAUCUGGGGUUGACUUUCCUUAACCAAUAAAAUUUAGCAGAAAUGGGUUGUUGGAUGUCUCUUCACUGGUAUAUCAUUAUUACAUCAGAAUCACAUAUAACACGUCUAUCUCAGUAUUUGCUGCAUAAAUUAAUGAAACUUGAAGAAAUUGUCUUGACUCUAUUUGUGCAGUUGACAAAUGGAUUAUCAAGACAUCAUUUUUUUAGAAAGUAGACUCUUAAGUUUUACCUUUAUACUCACUCAGUAAACUUAUGUAGUGAGCAAUUUGUCCUUAUUCUUCUGUCUUUCUGAGGCAUGCUCUCUCCCAGCUCGGAAUUUCUGUGCUGGCUGUUCUUGCCUCAUAGCAGCAGCUCAUCUUGAGUUCUUUACUGGUGAUGUCCUAUUAUCUUUUAAAUACCUUCCUUAUUUUUAUUCAGACCUCUUGAAGUCUUCUGCCAAGACAUGAUGGAUAAUAAGAUAAUCAGAUAAAUCAAUCUCUGCCUUGGUAUUAGCUAUGUAAGAGGAAGCACUGAAUAUAGAUCAGGAGGGUUGGAGUCAAACUCAGACUCUGUUAUGAGCCAUGACACUACCCUUCAACUAAUCGUGUGAAUUUAAACCAGUUAUUUUAUUUCUCAGGUCUCCAUUUUCCAAUAUGUAAGUUGGGAAACAAAACCGCUUAGGGUGAGGAUUAAAUAGAGCUGUGUAUACUUUGUUCGAAUUAGGUAGUAAAGGCUUAUAUAGUUGUGGCUAUUUUAAGGAGUCAUUUUCCCCCCCAAAUAUUAUAUCGUCUUUCAGUAGACAUCCCCAAAUGAAGUUGAGGAUUUUAUUGUUGAGUGAUGGGAGAAAUUCUGGUUAGAUGCCUUCUUCUUAGUCAUAUUCUGUCUUCUUGGGCAACUACUGCUUACUUUGGAGAAUUUUUCCAUUGGGGUUGACUAAUCUUAGCCAAAUCAGCAGGAAUUUUAAUCACUUUUCUAAGAAUACCUGUGAUUUUUGAAUCUACAGUAAAUUAUAAAUUAUAAAAUUUGAAAUUAUAUUUAAGGUAGGUAGUUUACAUAUGCUUGUAUGACAUGAAAGCAUGAAAGAAUCUUUUUUCAGGGAUUUUUUUCCAAAGAAUUUUAGUAUAUUUAUAUUUGUAUAACCAUCAUUACAACCUAAUUUUACAUUUCCAUACCAAAACCCCAGCCCAUCCCUCCCACCCCUACCUCUCUCCUUUGGUAAGCAUAAGUUUUUCAAAGUCUGUGAGUCAGUUUCUGUUCUGCAAGUAAGUUCACUGUAUCCUUUUUUUUUUUUUUUUUUUCGAUUCCUCAUAUAAGUGAUAACAUAUGACAUUUGUGUCUCACUGUCUAACUUCACUUAGCAUGAUAAUUUCUAGGUCCAUCCAUGUUGCAGCAAAUGCCAUUAUUUCAUUCCUUUUUAUCACUGAGUAAUAGUCUAUUGUGUAUAUACCACAUCUUUAUCUACUCCUCUGUUGAUGGACAUUUAGGUUACUUCCAUGUCUUGGCUAUUGUAUAUAGGGCUGCAAUGAACAUUGGGGUACAUGUAUCUUUUUGAGUCAUGGUUUUUUCUGGAUAGAUGCCCAGGAGUGGGAUAGAAUCUUUGAACAUGAUUUCCCCCCCACCCCCGCCAAUGCUGUCACCUCUCAAAGAAUCUCUUAAAAUUGUGAUCGUUUACAUGUCUAGAAGAGUGUUAAGAACAGGUUGUAUGUAGCUAUCAUUUAGCAAUAGUCUCUUCUAUUCUAGCUAACAGCUUUCUUUCCUAGGUUCUUCAGAAAUGGAAUCUGAACAUGCCACCUUGAGAAAGUAGAAUACCAGAUAAGGAAUAAUUUAAAAUAUAUUGAAUGAAUAAAUAGCAGAACAGGACAGAUUUUUUUGGUGCUUUGGAAAGUAUAAUUAUAAUUUUUUUCUAAUCCCUGAAAUUUAUAUUAUUUGAAUAAUCUAAAAUCCUAGAACCCUUUUCAGGUGAUUUGGCUAAUCAAAAAGAUGCUAUCACUAUUUUUUCAAUAAUAGCACAUUAACUCCUGACUGAUAGAGAUCUACAUUCAUAAUUAGAUUUCCUUUAGCCAAAAUCAGCUUCUGAUGACUUUCAGCUAAUGAUUUCAUCUCUUAUUAUUUAAGAGCUUAGUUUUGAGAUUAGGUUUUAUUCAUUUAGUGGUUAACGAAUCCGACUAGGAACCAUGAGCUUUCGGGUUCGAUCCCUGGCCUUGCUCAGUGGCUUAAGGAUCUGGCGUUGCCAUGAGCUGUGGUGUAGGUCGCAGACGUGGCUUGGAUCCCACAUUGCUGUGGCUCUGGUGUAGGCCAGCGGCUACAGCUCUGAUUGGACCGCUAGCCUGGGAGCCUCCAUAUGCCGCAGGAGUGGCCCUAGAAAAG